AAAUGUGUGGUAAGAAACAAAAUUUGGCAUAUCCUUUCGUCUGCCUUAAGCAAUUAGCAAGAGAACUCUCUAGUUCAGAACUCUUGGCCUUCUCCCGGCAUCACUCCAUCAUAGCAUCACUUCUUUGCUUUACUCCGUCACUUAUUUGCUUUGUCGCAUAUAUACAUAGGCAAAAAUGAGUUAUGUCAUGUGUUGAAGCUGCAGAGGCAAAAAAGAAUAUUUGAGCAAACUCUAUUGAUGAGGAUAAUGCAUUUGUGCAAGCUACAAUCUACAAAUGAGGGUGGUGAACAAAGAAUAAGGAAUCAAAGUGGGAAGCGGCCAAUGACUGCUGAUAGUGAAAUCCCUAGCUCACCUAUUGAUGACAUUGAUCUAGAGUGGAAAAGGGGAACAUAUUGUAGAUUCUUGUAAUGGUGGUCAUGAAUGAUUGACAAAAGGUCUUGUUGAGGUCGUUCAAGACAUACCUGCGACAUCUCAUAGAUAUUGUUGUUUUCAUAUAGAAAACAACAUGACUAUAUAUAUUUUGGUACAGUUGAGUUUGCAAACUUUGACAGAUUUAAUAAAGUUAUGGAGCACAUUGAGAAUUACAACAAAGAAGCAUAUGUUUGGCUAUCCAAUAUUGAUCCAAAGCAUUGGACCCUCGACUGCUUUGAUACCAAUGUGAAGGUUGAGCACCUGACUAACAAUCAUGUUAAGUCAUUCAAUGAUUGGUUGGAUGAUCUACGAUUUGAGCCACCAUUAAUGCAACUGCUCGAAGGACUUAAUAAGAUGAAGCAAUCAAACAUGAUGUAUGCCAGAAAGGAAACUCCUGUAAGAUGGAAAUAGAGGCUAACUCUGGUUGUCCAUAAAAAAGUGCAUGGCAUAAUAAAUAAAGCAAGAUUUUCUCAUGUAACACGCAUGGAAACAGCUGAAUUUUAAGUGGACUAUAAAACUUCUCGAUGGUUGUGAGAUUGAAUGACUCCUAUUGUAUUUGUGAUCAAUGACAAGUAAGGUUCAUACAAUUUUUUUUUUCUUU